CCUACGGGAGGCAGCAGUCGGGAAUAUUGGGCAAUGGGCGCAAGCCUGACCCAGCGACGCCGCGUGAGGGAUGAAGGCCUUCGGGUCGUAAACCUCUGUCGGGAGGGAAGAAUGGCGGUGAGGCGAAUAGUCUCGCUGUCUGACGGUACCUCCAAAGGAAGCGCCGGCUAACUCCGUGCCAGCAGCCGCGGUAAUACGGAGGGCGCAAGCGUUGUUCGGAAUCACUGGGCGUAAAGCGCGUGUAGGCGGCCGGGCAAGUCGGAUGUGAAAUCCCGAGGCUCAACCUCGGAACUGCAUUCGAAACUGCUCGGCUCGAGUCCCGGAGAGGAUGGCGGAAUUCCCGGUGUAGGGGUGAAAUCCGUAGAUAUCAGGAGGAAGGCCGGUGGCGAAGGCGGCCCUCUGGUACUGGACUGACGCUGAGGCGCGAAAGCGUGGGGAGCGAACAGGAUUAGAUACCCUGGUAGUCCACGCCCUAAACGGUGGGCACUAGGUGUAGGGCUCGUAAGGGUUCUGUGCCGAAGGGAAACCAUUAAGUGCCCCGCCUGGGGAGUACGGCCGCAAGGUUGAAACUUAAAGGAAUUGACGG
rnacentral:rRNA from 1 species